UUUUUGUGGUCGUAUAUUGGUAUGACGUUGGCGUCGUCGUCGUUGUCGUCGUCGUCCUGCGUUGUCCAAAGACACAUUGGUUUUCGCACUCUAACUUUAGUUUAAGUGAAUGGAUCUCUAUGAAAUUUUACUACAAGGUUCAAUACCACAAAAGGAAGGUUGGGAUUGAUUUUGGGGGUUAUGGUACCAACAGUAAAGGAAUUAGGGGCCAAAAAGGGGCCAAAAAUAAGCAUUUUUGUAACUUCCAGACAUAACUUGUGUGUUAGUGUAUGGAUCUCUCUGACAUUGUACCACAAGGUUCCAUAUCACAAAAGGAAUGCUGGGAUUGAUUUUGGGGGUAAUUGCCUCAACAUUUUAGGAAUUAGGGGCCAAAAAAGGGGCAAAAAACAAGCAUUUUUCUAGUUUCAUGACAAUAACUUGUGUGUAAGUGUAUGGAUCUUUCUGAAAUUGUACUACAAGGUUCCAUAUCACAAAGGGAAAGCUGGAAUUGAGUUUGGGGGUAAUUGCCAAAACGUUUAGGAAUUGGGGGCCAAAAAGGGGCCAAAAAUAUGCAUAUUUUUAGUUUCCAGACAAUAACUUGUGUUCAAGUGUAUGGAUCUCUCUGAAAUUGUACUGCAAGGUACCAUACCACAAAGGGAAGGCUGGGAUUGAUGAUGGGGGGUUAUUGCCUCAAUAUUUUAGGAAUUAGGGGCCAAAAAGGGGCAAAAAACAAGCAUUUUUCUAGUUUCAGGACAAUAACUUGUGUGUAAGUGUAUGGAUCUUUCUGAAAUUGUACUACAAGGUUCCAUAUCACAAAGGGAAAGCUGGAAUUGAGUUUGGGGGUAAUUGCCCAAAACAUUUAGGAAUAAGGGGCCAAAAAUAGCAUUUUUAUAGUUUCCAGACAAUUACUUGUGUUCAAGUGUAUGGAUCUCUCUGAAAUUGUACUGCAAGGUACCAUACCACAAAGGGAAGGCUGGGAAUGAUUUUGGGGGUAAUUCCCUCAAAAUUUUAGGAAUAAGGGGUCAAAAAGGGGAAAAAAACAAGCAUUUUUCUAGUUUCAGGACAAUAACUUGCGUUCAAGUGUAUGGAUCUCUCUGAAAUUGUACUGCAAGGUACCAUACCACAAAGGGAAGGCUGGGAUUGAGUUUGGGGGUGAUGAAUCAUAAGGGGUUUCAAAAAAUUUGGGGGGGAUUUUUUUUUUUUCCUUUUUUUUUCUUUUAAAAUUUUCCAUUUUAAGUUGGUUAUUUCUGAUUUAUAUUUAAAAGCAAAUAUAAUGAUAUGGUAGGAGAUACACACCAAACAGGAUGUGUAAAUUAUUAUAUAAUAAGUAUUGUGCAAUAGCAAGAAAUUUUCAAUUGCACAGUAUUGCACAAUAGCAAGAAAUCUUUCAUUGCACAGUAUUGCGCAACAGCAAGAAAUCUUCAAUUGCACAGUAUUGCGCAAUAGCAAGAAAUAUCCAAUAGCACAAUAUUGCGCAAUAGCAAGAAAUUGUCAAUUGUACAGUAUUGCGCAAUAGCAAGAAAUAUUCAAUUGCACAGUAUUAAUUGCUUAUUUCUUGACCAAUUUCAAUGGGGUUUUAUUCUUGAAUUCUUGGGGUUCUUUAAUAUGCUGAAUCUAACCGUGUAUUAAGUUUUUUGAUUUUGGGCCCCGAUUUUAAAUUGGUCCACAUUGAGGUCCAAAGGGUCCAAAAUUAAACUUUGUUUGAUUUCAUCAAAAAUUGAAUUAUUGGGGUUCUUUGAUAUGCCGAAUCUAACCGUGUAUUUAGAUUCUUAAUUUUUGGUUCCGUUUUCAAAUUGGUCUACAUUAAGGUCCAAAGGGUCCAAAAUUAAACUUAGUUUGAUUUUAACAAAAAUUGAAUUCUUAGGGUUCUUUGAUAUGCCGAAUCUAAACAUGUAUUUAGAUUUUUGAUUAUGGGCCCAGUUUUCAAGUUGGUCCAAAUCGGGGGUCCAAAAUUAAACUUUGUUUGAUUUCAACAAAAAUUGAAUAUAUGGGGUUCUUUGAUAUGCUGAAUCUAACCAUGUAUUUAGAUUAUUCAUUUUUGGGCCCCAUUAUCAACUUUGUCCACAUUGAGGUCGAAAGGGUCCAAAAUUAAACUUUGUUUGAUUUCAUCAAAAAUUGAAUUCUUGGGGUUCUUUGAUAUGCUGAAUCUAACCAUGUAUUUAGAUUUUGGAUAUUGGACCAUAAUAGGUGAAUGUCCAAUUUAAAUUUUUUAAGUUCUUAGACCACAUUCAUUCUGUGUCAGAAACCUAUGCUGUGUCAAAUAUUUAAUCACAAUCCAAAUGCAAAGCUGUAUCAAGCUUGAAUGUUGUGUCCAUACUUGCCCCAACUGUUCAGGGUUCGACCUCUGCGGUCGUAUCAAGCUGCGCCCUGCGGAGCAUUUUAUUUC